AAUAACUCCAACCAAUUUUAUACCCCAACCAAUUUUAUCAAUGAAAACUUCCUCAAAAACGUCACAUCAUAGGCUUUCUGGCGAUAUGAUUGGUUAAGGGAUUUGUGGCGCUAAUUUCUUUUACUACAUGAAGGAAAAAUCAAGAGUUGACGUCUCCCUCCACUAGAGGAAAAACAGCAGGAAGCACUAUGCAUCAUUGAUCUUGACGUCUCUAAAGGAGAAACUACUGGAUCAUCUGAGAUGGAGGGAGAGAAGUACGUGCAACUGGGGUGAAAGCAGCCGACUGCUGAUGGCAAAUAUGACCCCAAGGACCACGAUGGCAUGGACAUGGGACGUGGAUGGGUAGCUUCUGGAUGAAGAAGAAGACAAUGAUGUGGUACAGGAGGAGAUAAUCUCCCAUCAUCCUCAGCUGGCGUUGGAGUGGUGGAUCGCUAAGGGACCGACGGACGGCUUAUGUCGCCAGCUAGACAAGCAGUUUUCACGCAGGACGGCAUCUGGUUGAGCCCGGAGAAGGGGAGCAGACUGCGUGAUCCGGAACGCCACUGGCCACGACGACGCUGGGGAGAACAUUGGAAUAACGCUCAAUGACGACAGGCCACAGACUGCAGGCUGCCGGACCAGUGAUCAGUGUGGAAUUACACCUCCCUUACGCAACUGCCUUGGGGAGAGAGAAGUGUGGAGCUUUCCCCCCAUGUUGAGCUAAGUGGCCCUUCCCUUCCGUUUAGAGUUAUUAAUCGUAGUUUGAGUGUGGGUUUGCUUGUGCGUGAUUGGGGGGUAGUGUAACGUAGCGAGCAGAGCAUUGGAGCUUACGUGGGUAGCAGGUGGAGUAUAACUAGCAGGGGCUCCUUAAUAUAUAUUUAUUUGGGUAUGGGGAUCUAUUGUAUUAGGGUUUUGAGCCUCGUAAAUUCCUGUAGUGCCACCCGGUGUUCGUGUGUAGGGUUAAAGUUCCCCAAGUGCUGUAUGACAGAAGUGUGUGUGUGUUUGUCAUGUGUUCCAGCUUAGGCCUCCGGUAGACAGGAAAGGACUGGACUUUCUUCACGGUCGACAGUGGAUUAGGAGAGUGGAGGGCCAAAGAAUUGACAUUGGACUUUUUAAUUAUAUCAUCUAUGAGUACAGAAUUGUAAAAUAAAGACUUUUGUAUUUUCUUA